AGGGAAAGAGGGAGGGAGGAAUAACACAUGCGAGUCGAACGGCAGCACAGUAAGAGCUUGCUCUUACGGGUGGCGAGUGGCGGACGGGUGAGGAAUACAUCGGAAUCUACUUUUUCGUGGGGGAUAACGUAGGGAAACUUACGCUAAUACCGCAUACGACCUACGGGUGAAAGCAGGGGAUCUUCGGACCUUGCGCGAUUGAAUGAGCCGAUGUCGGAUUAGCUAGUUGGCGGGGUAAAGGCCCACCAAGGCGACGAUCCGUAGCUGGUCUGAGAGGAUGAUCAGCCACACUGGAACUGAGACACGGUCCAGACUCCUACGGGAGGCAGCAGUGGGGAAUAUUGGACAAUGGGCGCAAGCCUGAUCCAGCCAUACCGCGUGGGUGAAGAAGGCCUUCGGGUUGUAAAGCCCUUUUGUUGGGAAAGAAAAGCAGCAGGUUAAUACCCCGCUGUUCUGACGGUACCCAAAGAAUAAGCACCGGCUAACUUCGUU
rnacentral:rRNA from 1 species